rnacentral:rRNA from 1 species
CGGGUGAGUAAUGUAUAGUUAAUCUGCCCUUUAGAGGGGGAUAACAGUUGGAAACGACUGCUAAUACCCCAUACUCCUUCUAUGUUAAUCAUAGUUGGGAAAUGUUUUUUCGCUAAAGGAUGAGACUAUAUGGUAUCAGGUAGUUGGUGGGGUAAGAGCCUACCAAGCCAAUGACGCCUAGCUGGUCUGAGAGGAUGAUCAGCCACACUGGAACUGAGACACGGUCCAG